UUGGGAAGAUCUACAUGGCGGAUCUUCAUUUUGUUGAUGAAAAUAAUCCAUAACCAAUCUAUAAAUGAAAAUCUGGGUGAGUUUAUUCUGAGCUUAAAUUUUAGGAUUAUAACCCGGGAGAGUCUUUCCACAAAGGAACAGAGCACUCCAAAGAAGUGGGGGUAUAAGGGUGGUUAUAUACCCUCAAAGAGGGUGUUUCACAUAGGAUUGAAAUGUCCCUCCCACAAUAGUCACAAGACUGCUCUGUCGGCACAGCCAUUGAUGAAAAUAGCAGGUAGGUCUUCUGUCUCAGUGAACACAGCAGGGUGGCAGCCUGUUGUCUCCAGCUGAGUGGUCACAGGUGAGCUGGGUGGUCAAAGAUUAGCCCUGAGCUAACUACUGCCAGUCCUCCUCUUUUUGCUGAGGAAGACCGGCCCUGAGCUAACAUCUGUGCCCAUCUUCCUCCUCUUUAUAUGUGGGAUGCCUACCACAGCAUGGCAUGCCAAGCGGUGCCAUGUCUGCACCAGGGAUCCAAACCGGCAAACCCCAGGCCACUGAGAAGUGAAUGUGCGAACUUAACCACUGCACCACCGGGCCAGCCCCUGGAGUUAAGAAAACCUUUUUCUCUAUUCUCUUAAAGAACUAUGACUUACAGCAAUUUAUAAACAAAAUUGAAACAUUCGUCUUUUCUUCACUACCUGAGCCCUCCAAAACGUAAAAACCCCUGAUGAGACACAAUUGGAAACACUGCUUAUAUUACCAAGGCUUUGACUGGAACAUCAUAUUUAAAAAAACAUACGGGCUUGGAUAUAACAAGACAGCUUUUGAGGAACGAAGGUUGACAUUCUGGAAUAAAGCCACUUGGAAAUAUUGGGCUGGUACUGUGCUUAUGGGUUCUGUAGCCUGGUAAGUUUGAGCAAAGAAUGUCUCUCCCUCUAGCAGGUACAAGGAACCUCAAUAUUUUGGGGAACAUCACAAAGAGAGGGAUUCACCCAAAUCUGUAGGUACUGCAGGUAGAAUGUGAUAACAGGUCCUUUGCCUGGUUUUCCUUGAGAGGCUUUUAAAGUUCAACCUGAGAUUCCUUAUAAGGUUCUAGCAAAGCAGAUUUAAAAGAGCCUAUAUGAUCAAUUACUAUUCUUGCUGUACUUAUGUAAAUAAUUAUGCCAAGUUUAUCAAAACUAGACUUAUUUUUCAAACCAGUUAGUCUUAAUUUGACUAUAUCUGGUGAAAUUGAGGGUGAUUUUAGGGAGGAAGAUUAUGUUUCAAUAAAAACUAUAUUACACAUUUAUAGAUAUUGGAUUUUAGUUUUUUCAAUUGUCUUUGAAAUUUUAUUUUACUUCUGUUAACUGAACUGGAUCUUAAAUUCUUCUAGUCUCCUAAAAUAUCUGGCUAAAAACCUCCAAACUAACAUUUUCAGGGUUUUUUUCCCAUUAUUUUCAUUUGGAGUCAUUGAAAACUAAAUCUGCCCUUUUUCCUAAAGCCUUACAAACUGAAGCUGGAAGACCUAAUAUAAACAUAAGAGAGAUUCACGUCUACUGCUGUGUACGCCACUCAAAAACGUACCUGAGUGCCCAAUGACACCAUCAGAGACAUUUCAAACUGCAAAAGAUGCUUCGACCCUGACUUCUAGGAAUAUUGAUUGGCUGCCCCCUGGGCCCAAAAAGUGGUUUAUAAUUUACUCCAAACAUUAACCUUGUUUUUCUCUUUUUGUUUCUCUAGAAAAACUUCUUAUUAAACACCUGGUUACUUACCUACAUGACACAGGCCUAACUUCAGGAGCCCACCAGCAUCACUGCCUUAUUAAAAGACUAGUUCAAUGAGAUGAAACAACCUAUGCCCCAUUUCAACAGGAAGUAGCUAUAUCAGUCACUGUCCCAAAUCCCUCAAGAUUGAGGCAUGGACAUAAAAUAGGGGAGAGUUGAUAUCAACCCUGAUAUCAGUUUCCCCACGUUAAACCCAGCAUAUAUGGGGUUAAAAACAAAACACUCAUUCCUAUCUUACUCUCUGGUUUCCUGGCUCCAGAAUCCACUAUCCUCCAUGGAGACAGACACCACCAAGGAGAGGCACCUGGAUUAUCUCCUCCCCACAAAGAGAUACAGGCUGGUGGGAAAGUUGCUGACCAUCAAGGUCAUGGGCUCCCUCCUCUCUGCAAGUGGUCUCAAGGCCAAAGACAGGCUAGGUGGGAAAGCUCUGACCAGCAAGGCCUUAUGCUCUCUCUUCCCUACCUAAAACCCCAAAUAAAAACCCUUCCUUUUAGCUUUUUGGGGAGUUUGGGAUUUCAGCAUUAGCUGCCCUCUCUCCUUGCUCAGUGCUGUGCAAAAAUAAAAUUUCUACUUUCUUCCACCACA
rnacentral:lncRNA from 1 species